UUUUUUUUAUUUUUGUUACUCUUACUAUGUCACAAUUUUUAUCAUCAUUUUUUUAUCUGAUCUGAUCGGUUUUUUUAUUAUCUUGGUUAAUUCUUUAAAAAUGUCUUCUAUACUUUCACUACUUUCAUUAAAUGCUGUUUGUACCUUUAAUUUUGGUAUCAGUUCAGGAGAUAAUUUUUUUUACUACAGACUAAAAUAAAAUAAUACUAGUUAAAAAGUUG